CCUACGGGAGGCAGCAGUGAGGAAUAUUGGUCAAUGGCCGGAAGGCUGAACCAGCCAUGCCGCGUGAAGGUCAGUGCCCUAUGGGCGUUAAACUUCUUUUGUGCGGGAGCAAUAAUGGUCACGUGUGGCCAGACGAGAGUACCGUACGAAUAAGCAUCGGCUAACUCCGUGCCAGCAGCCGCGGUAAUACGGGGGAUGCAAGCGUUAUCCGGAUUUAUUGGGUUUAAAGGGUGCGUAGGCUGGGAGGUAAGUCAGCGGUGAAAUGCCCCCGCUCAACGGGGUGAAGUGCCAUUGAUACUGCUCUGCUGGAAUGCGGAUGCGGUGGGAGGAAUGUGUGGUGUAGCGGUGAAAUGCAUAGAUAUCACACAGAACACCGAUUGCGAAGGCAUCUCACGAAUCCGAGAUUGACGCUGAUGCACGAAAGCGUGGGUAGCAAACAGGAUUAGAUACCCUUGUAGUC
rnacentral:rRNA from 1 species